rnacentral:rRNA from 1 species
CCUCAUGGCCCUUAUGACCAGGGCUACACACGUGCUACAAUGGCCGGUACAAAGAGUUGCGAUACCGCGAGGUGGAGCUAAUCUCAUAAAGCCGGUCUCAGUUCGGAUUGGAGUCUGCAACUCGACUCCAUGAAGUUGGAAUCGCUAGUAAUCGCAGAUCAGCACGCUGCGGUGAAUACCGGUUCCCGGGCCUU